rnacentral:rRNA from 1 species
UGAGGAAUUUUGCACAAUGGGGGAAACCCUGAUGCAGCGACGCCGCGUGAGUGAUGAAGGCCUUAGGGUCGUAAAACUCUGUCAAUAGGGAAGAAAUGUGCGAUGGCCAAUACCCAUAGCAUUUGACGGUACCUAUAAAGGAAGCACCGGCUAAAUCCGUGCCAGCAGCCGCGGUAAUACGGAUGGUGCGAGCGUUGUUCGGAAUUACUGGGCGUAAAGGGCGCGUAGGCGGCCUGCCAAGUCAGAUGUGAAAGCCCACGGCUCAACCGUGGAAGUGCAUCUGAAACUGGUAGGCUUGAGUACUGGAGGGGAGUGUGGAAUUCCUGGUGUAGAGGUGAAAUUCGUAGAUAUCAGGAGGAAUACCGGUGGCGAAGGCGACACUCUGGACAGAUACUGACGCUGAGGCGCGAAAGCGUGGGGAGCAAACAGGAUUAGAUACCCUGGUAGUCCACAGCUGUAAACGAUGUGCACUAGGCGUAGGGGGUCGUUGACCCUUUCUGUGCCGCAGCUAACGCAUUAAGUGCACCGCCUGGGGAGUACGGUCGCAAGAUUA